rnacentral:rRNA from 1 species
GACAGAGGGUGCAAACGUUGUUCGGAUUUACUGGGCGUAAAGCGCGUGUAGGCGGCUUUGCAAGUCGGAUGUGAAAGCCCACGGCUCAACCGUGGAAGUGCAUCCGAAACUGCAUGGCUUGAGUCUCGGAGAGGAAGGUGGAAUGCUUGGUGUAGAGGUGAAAUUCGUAGAUAUCAAGCAGAACACCUGCGGCGAAGGCGGCCUUCUGGACGAUGACUGACGCUGAGAACGCGAAAGCGUGGGGAGCAAACAGG